UACAGAGGUGGCAAGCGUUGUUCGGAAUUACUGGGCGUAAAGGGCGCGUAGGCGGCCUUCUCAGUCAGACGUGAAAUCCCCAGGCUUAACUUGGGAACUGCGUCUGAUACUGGAAGGCUUGAGUGCGGGAGAGGGAUGUGGAAUUCCAGGUGUAGCGGUGAAAUGCGUAGAUAUCUGGAGGAAUACCGGUGGCGAAGGCGGCAUCCUGGACCAACACUGACACUGAGGAGCGAAAGCCAGGGGAGCAAACGGG
rnacentral:rRNA from 1 species